rnacentral:rRNA from 1 species
UACGAAGGGGGCUAGCGUUGUUCGGAUUUACUGGGCGUAAAGCGCGUGUAGGCGGGUCUUUUAAGUCAGGGGUGAAAUCCUGGAGCUCAACUCCAGAACUGCCUUUGAUACUGAAGAUCUUGAGUUCGGGAGAGGUGAGUGGAACUGCGAGUGUAGAGGUGAAAUUCGUAGAUAUUCGCAAAGAACACCAGUGGCGAAGGCGGCUCACUGGCCCGAUACUGACG